GUCUCUGUAGCGUAGUGAGAGAGUGAGGCUCUCACGAGGGAGAUCUGGGUUCGAAUCCCAGCUAAGACA